rnacentral:lncRNA from 1 species
CGCGCGGCGCUGCCAUAAACACGGCAAGAUGGCGGCGCUCACGCCGCCCGCCCGCCCGUGCUGCGUCAUGUCGCGCCCCGGCCCCGCCGCGCCCGCAGGCUGGCCGGGAUUCGCGCUCAAACCGCGCCGGGGAAGAUGGAGAUGAGGUUUGUUCCCCUCAGGAGCCCGCGCGGGGUGCGAGCGGCUCGCAGCGCCCGGAGAUCCUCGGCCCGUGCGUAGGGGUGGGGAGGGACCAGCCCCGGGGCUGUGGGCAGGGAAUGUCCCCAGCCCCAUCGCUACGAUGCUGAAGGAAUUUUGGUUCCUAUGACACAACUGCAAAAAUAUCACCAGCCCCAAAGGGGCAGGAGGUGGAACUGGAGUUUAAACACCAACCAGGCCAGCUUAAACGGGUUUCAAAGUUGCAAACUUGUAAGGCAGCGUUUUCACGGCUGGAUCCAGCCCAGCGUUUUGUGUUUGUCUCCCAAAAACAGCCUCGGGGACAUCUCAGCACCUUCUCUUUGCCAGCAGCCAUGUGGUCCUGCUGACUCCAUUCAACCAGCACAGCUGGACUGGGGAACUCAGCUCAUCCUUCAUGGCAAAAAAUUCCACUUUCCUCCAGAUCUGGAGCUUGUUUGCCAUCCUGCCUGGAUUUCUGAACCCUCUGUGCCAUUAUGAACAACACCCCUCCUGGAAACACAACCUUGAUUCCCAAUCUCUUUAUGACAGAGGAAGGGAGAAUAUGUAAACCCCACCUCAAAAUGCUGCUUUUUAACCCAGAGUGAGGAAUUGUAAUUUCCAAAAGCACACGUGAGGAAAACAGCAGUAGCAGAGUGAGCUUUGGAAUUUGUCCAGGCGUUAAAGAUUUUAGGAAUGCUACGUGCUCUGUGUCACAUGUGUGCCCCUGAAUGGGACAGGGAGCCUGGACCGUGCUGGGCAUGACCUGAGAAAUGCCUCAACCAGGUACACAAACUCUGGGCUGUGUGGACAGAGAGGGACACGAUCAAUAUUGGAUCAUUUUGGUGACAAACGUGACAUUUCCCAUCUGAAAACAUUUAAUUAUUGCUCAGGUUGAGGUCACUGCUGUGCUUUGUGCCUCCCCACCAGCACACUCCAUUUCCAGACUUGCCCUUAUAAAACCCAGCUGUCGCACAUCCAACUUUUUCUGGGAUAUAUAUAUAUAUCUCCCAGAAAAAAAAUCUCCAUAUAUAUCCAUAAAUACCCCUGUGGAUGUGGAGCCAGUCCAUGAGAGCAGCAUUGUCUAGCCCCAGUGGUGUGGCUGGCAGGCAGCCAGGCAGCAAGUGGGUACCUGUGAGCUGUGCCAGCAGCAAGCUCAUCCUUCUGGAAAGGGCUGUGCUGGGAAGUGGGUGAGCUCAAGAAAAUGCAUUUGAGCUUCUGGGCACUAUUGAUUUGUCUUGAUGUAUUUUAUUCAUCUGCUUGAAGCACAAUGAAAACGUGCUGGUGGAAUGAGUCGGAGUUCAGGGGAGGGGGAGCCAGAAGUGGGGUUUGGAGCUGCCCGCCAUCACCAUCUUCCUCCUCUGCAGCUGCUCCAGAGCUCUACACAAACCCAGUUUCUGCUUCCCAGCAAGGCAGCAGAAGGGAUAUUUUUCAGCAGAGAAAUCUGAGGAGAAAAUGAAAAUAAAACUGUUGGUUUGGUUUGGGGUAAGAACA